CCUACGGGGUGCAGCAGUGGGGAAUAUUGCACAAUGGGGGAAACCCUGAUGCAGCAACGCCGCGUGAAGGAAGACGGUUUUCGGAUUGUAAACUUCUGUUCUUAGUGAAGAAUAAUGACGGUAGCUAAGGAGCAAGCCACGGCUAACUACGUGCCAGCAGCCGCGGUAAUACGCAGGUGGCAAGCGUUGUCCGGAAUUACUGGGUGUAACGGGAGCGCAGGCGGGAAGCCAAGUCAGCUGUGAAAACUACGGGCUUAACUUGUAGACUGCAGUUGAAACUGGUGUUCUUGAGUGAAGUAGGGGUUGGCGGAAGUGCGGGUGUAGCGGUGAAAUGCGUGGAUAUUCGGAGGAACACGGGUGGCGAAGGCGGCCACCUGGGCUUUAACUGACGCUGAGGCUCGAAGUGUGGGGAGCAAACAGGAUUAGAUACCCUUGUAGUC
rnacentral:rRNA from 1 species